UACGAAGGGGGCUAGCGUUGCUCGGAAUCACUGGGCGUAAAGGGCGCGUAGGCGGCUUUGAUAAGUCGGGGGUGAAAGCCUGUGGCUCAACCACAGAAUUGCCUUCGAUACUGUAGAGCUUGAGACCGGAAGAGGUAAGUGGAACUGCAAGUGUAGAGGUGAAAUUCGUAGAUAUUCGCAAGAACACCAGUGGCGAAGGCGGCUUACUGGUCCGGUUCUGACG
rnacentral:rRNA from 1 species